AAAUAUGUAAAUAAAAAAAAAAAUAAAAAAAAAAUAAAAAAAAAGGAGAAAGAUCUGGUUGCCCUGACAUGGUG
rnacentral:rRNA from 11 species